rnacentral:rRNA from 1 species
UUAGGUAAAUCAUUUUUUAUUGUCUUAGUAGAGGAGAUAGAAUUAGACGUUAAGGCGGCGAUAGAUAAUAGAUAGUAGCGUGAGUGAAGGUUAAUAAAUUAAACAGUGAAGUAUCGGUGGUGAGCACUCGUACCUUUUGCAUCAUGGCUUAUACUACUUUUUAUGCUGAGGAAGUAUCCCGAAAGUUUUGUGAUCUACUUUCUUACUUUACAGGUUGGCGUUAUAUUUGCUAUCUGGAGAUGGGGAGAUAGUGGCGAAAUACUUUUCGCACUGGUUGAUAGCUGGUUAUUCCGGAAAUAUAUCUAAGUAUAGCUCUUCGGUUGAUGGGGUUUACAGUUUAAUAAUUCUAAUAGUAUUUAGGGUGUUCUAUCGAAGGAGUCAGCCCCCUCAGGCUAAGCUGAGGGGGCUAUUUUAAAGGAUGGUUAACUAAGAAUGGAAAGGCUAAGAAGUGGGCUUGAAGGAGCUAUCUUUACAGAGUGGGUUAAACCACAAAUGGGCCUUGUACAAUAAAUCAAAUUUUACCUAUCUUUGUGUUGUACGGAAUCUCUUUUUGAAACAAUAGUCAUAGAGGUGAUAAUGUAAAGAUGAGUAGUCGAGAAGUUGUAAGUGUUUUAAGGUCGGGGAGAGAAACGUAAAGGUAUGUUCCGUAUCUUUAAAAAAAGCUAAAGGAACUCGGCAAAUAAGGGGACCGCCUGUUUAUCAAAAACAUGGCUCCUUGAGCAAUAUUGGGGGUCGUGCCUUCCCGGUGAGCUUGCGGGCUUAAACGGACGCGGUAAAGCGUGCUAAGGUAGCUAAAUUAUGGCCUAUUAAUUGUAGGUCCUGUGAAUGGUUUGACGAGUUUCCAACUGUCUCUAGUUUUUUUUGGUGAACUUGAAUUGGAUGUGCAAAUGCUUCCAUGGGUAAGAAAGACGAGAAGACCCCGUGAAGUUAGAAAUUUAAGUUAUUGGGAAGUUCCAAGGCCUAUUUGUGGUCGAAUCGUUGAGAGGCAUUAAUUGUUUAGUGUUUCAGAAGGGGUGAAUAAUAGCAGUUUUGGCUGGGGCAGCAAAGGAGCAAAGCUAGACUCCUUUAGGGUACAAAACAGAUGUGUUACGACCCACAAACAUUAAGGUGUGAUUAUCAGAAGAAGUUACUCCGGGGAUAACAGCGUAAUCUGUCUUGAUAGUUCUUAUAGAUGGGCGGGUUUGCGACCUCGAUGUUGGCUCUGGAUAUCCUAAGGCUUGCAGGCGGUCUUGAGGGUUGGUUCGUUCGCCCAUAAAAAUCUGACGUGAGCUGAGUUCAGAUCGGUGAAAGCUAGGUCGGUUUCUAUCUUCUUUCUUUUAAAUUAGGGCUUUAGGGUACGAAAGGACAUUUAGCUCCAGGUGAUGGUCUGUAGUGUGUGAUUUUAUAAUAAUUUUAGUAUAAAAAAGUUUAUCUAUAAGUGGUU